rnacentral:rRNA from 1 species
CUAGCGUCGCGCGUUAACCCCGGGAGGUAGAGCACCGGAUCGAUGAGGGGGCUUCGCCGCCUACCGAUUCGAACCGAACUCCGAAUGCCCGAGGGUCUAGAGCGCGGCAGUCAGAACAUGUGGGCUAAGCUGUGUGUUCGAGAGGGAAACAGCCCAGACCGCCCGCUAAGGUCCCUAAUUCAGAGCCGAGUGGCAAAGGAU